rnacentral:piRNA from 1 species
UAUCAACAGAAGAAUAUUACU